rnacentral:rRNA from 1 species
UACGUAGGGCGCAAGCGUUGUCCGGAAUUAUUGGGCGUAAAGAGCUCGUAGGCGGCUUGUCACGUCGGGGUGUGAAAGCCCGGGGCUUAACCCCGGGUCUGCAUUCGAUACGGGCUAGCUAGAGUGUGGUAGGGGAGAUCGAAUUCCUGGUGUAGCGGUGAAAUGCGCAGAUAUCAGGAGGAACACCGGUGGCGAAGGCGGAUCUCUGGGCCAUUACUGACGCUGAGGAGCGAAAGCGUGGGGGAGCGAACAGG